CCCAGACUCCUACGGGAGGCAGCAGUGGGGAAUAUUGCACAAUGGGGGAAACCCUGAUGCAGCGACGCCGCGUGAGUGAAGAAGUAUUUCGGUAUGUAAAGCUCUAUCAGCAGGGAAGAAAAAAGACGGUACCUGACUAAGAAGCCCCGGCUAACUACGUGCCAGCAGCCGCGGUAAUACGUAGGGGGCAAGCGUUAUCCGGAAUUACUGGGUGUAAAGGGUGCGUAGGUGGCAUGGUAAGUCAGAAGUGAAAGCCCGGGGCUUAACCCCGGGACUGCUUUUGAAACUGUCAUGCUGGAGUGCAGGAGAGGUAAGCGGAAUUCCUAGUGUAGCGGUGAAAUGCGUAGAUAUUAGGAGGAACACCAGUGGCGAAGGCGGCUUACUGGACUGUCACUGACACUGAUGCGCGAAAGCGUGGGGAGCAAACAGGAUUAGAUACCCGGGUA
rnacentral:rRNA from 1 species